rnacentral:rRNA from 1 species
UAAGGGCGCACGGUGGAUGCCUUGGCACUAGAAGCCGAUGAAGGACGUUACUAACGACGAUAUGCUUUGGGGAGCUGUAAGUAAGCUUUGAUCCAGAGAUUUCCGAAUGGGGAAACCCAGCAUGAGUUAUGUCAUGUUAUCGAUAUGUGAAUACAUAGCAUAUCAGAAGGCACACCCGGAGAACUGAAACAUCUUAGUACCCGGAGGAAGAGAAAGAAAAUUCGAUUCCCUUAGUAGCGGCGAGCGAAACGGGAAGAGCCCAAACCAACAAGCUUGCUUGUUGGGGUUGUAGGACACUCUAUACGGAGUUACAAAGGACGACAUUAGACGAAUCAUCUGGAAAGAUGAAUCAAAGAAGGUAAUAAUCCUGUAGUCGAAAAUGUUGUCUCUCUUGAGUGGAUCCUGAGUACGACGGAGCACGUGAAAUUCCGUCGGAAUCUGGGAGGACCAUCUCCUAAGGCUAAAUACUCUCUAGUGACCGAUAGUGAACCAGUACCGUGAGGGAAAGGUGAAAAGCACCCCGGAAGGGGAGUGAAAUAGAACCUGAAACCGUGUGCUUACAAGUAGUCAGAGCCCGUUAAUGGGUGAUGGCGUGCCUUUUGUAGAAUGAACCGGCGAGUUACGAUUUGAUGCAAGGUUAAGCAGUAAAUGUGGAGCCGUAGCGAAAGCGAGUCUGAAUAGGGCGUUUAGUAUUUGGUCGUAGACCCGAAACCAGGUGAUCUACCCUUGGUCAGGUUGAAGUUCAGGUAACACUGAAUGGAGGACCGAACCGACUUACGUUGAAAAGUGAGCGGAUGAACUGAGGGUAGCGGAGAAAUUCCAAUCGAACCUGGAGAUAGCUGGUUCUCUCCGAAAUAGCUUUAGGGCUAGCCUCAAGUGAUGAUUAUUGGAGGUAGAGCACUGUUUGGACGAGGGGCCCCUCUCGGGUUACCGAAUUCAGACAAACUCCGAAUGCCAAUUAAUUUAACUUGGGAGUCAGAACAUGGGUGAUAAGGUCCGUGUUCGAAAGGGAAACAGCCCAGACCACCAGCUAAGGUCCCAAAAUAUAUGUUAAGUGGAAAAGGAUGUGGCGUUGCCCAGACAACUAGGAUGUUGGCUUAGAAGCAGCCAUCAUUUAAAGAGUGCGUAAUAGCUCACUAGUCGAGUGACACUGCGCCGAAAAUGUACCGGGGCUAAACAUAUUACCGAAGCUGUGGAUUGUCCUUUGGACAAUGGUAGGAGAGCGUUCUAAGGGCGUUGAAGCAUGAUCGUAAGGACAUGUGGAGCGCUUAGAAGUGAGAAUGCCGGUGUGAGUAGCGAAAGACGGGUGAGAAUCCCGUCCACCGAUUGACUAAGGUUUCCAGAGGAAGGCUCGUCCGCUCUGGGUUAGUCGGGUCCUAAGCUGAGGCCGACAGGCGUAGGCGAUGGAUAACAGGUUGAUAUUCCUGUACCACCUAUAAUCGUUUUAAUCGAUGGGGGGACGCAGUAGGAUAGGCGAAGCGUGCGAUUGGAUUGCACGUCUAAGCAGUAAGGCUGAGUAUUAGGCAAAUCCGGUACUCGUUAAGGCUGAGCUGUGAUGGGGAGAAGACAUUGUGUCUUCGAGUCGUUGAUUUCACACUGCCGAGAAAAGCCUCUAGAUAGAAAAUAGGUGCCCGUACCGCAAACCGACACAGGUAGUCAAGAUGAGAAUUCUAAGGUGAGCGAGCGAACUCUCGUUAAGGAACUCGGCAAAAUGACCCCGUAACUUCGGGAGAAGGGGUGCUCUUUAGGGUUAACGCCCAGAAGAGCCGCAGUGAAUAGGCCCAAGCGACUGUUUAUCAAAAACACAGGUCUCUGCUAAACCGUAAGGUGAUGUAUAGGGGCUGACGCCUGCCCGGUGCUGGAAGGUUAAGAGGAGUGGUUAGCUUCUGCGAAGCUACGAAUCGAAGCCCCAGUAAACGGCGGCCGUAACUAUAACGGUCCUAAGGUAGCGAAAUUCCUUGUCGGGUAAGUUCCGACCCGCACGAAAGGCGUAACGAUUUGGGCACUGUCUCAACGAGAGACUCGGUGAAAUCAUAGUACCUGUGAAGAUGCAGGUUACCCGCGACAGGACGGAAAGACCCCGUGGAGCUUUACUGUAGCCUGAUAUUGAAAUUCGGCACAGCUUGUACAGGAUAGGUAGGAGCCUUUGAAACGUGAGCGCUAGCUUACGUGGAGGCGCUGGUGGGAUACUACCCUAGCUGUGUUGGCUUUCUAACCCGCACCACUUAUCGUGGUGGGAGACAGUGUCAGGCGGGCAGUUUGACUGGGGCGGUCGCCUCCUAAAAGGUAACGGAGGCGCUCAAAGGUUCCCUCAGAAUGGUUGGAAAUCAUUCAUAGAGUGUAAAGGCAUAAGGGAGCUUGACUGCGAGACCUACAAGUCGAGCAGGGUCGAAAGACGGACUUAGUGAUCCGGUGGUUCCGCAUGGAAGGGCCAUCGCUCAACGGAUAAAAGCUACCCCGGGGAUAACAGGCUUAUCUCCCCCAAGAGUUCACAUCGACGGGGAGGUUUGGCACCUCGAUGUCGGCUCAUCGCAUCCUGGGGCUGUAGUCGGUCCCAAGGGUUGGGCUGUUCGCCCAUUAAAGCGGUACGCGAGCUGGGUUCAGAACGUCGUGAGACAGUUCGGUCCCUAUCCGUCGUGGGCGUAGGAAAUUUGAGAGGAGCUGUCCUUAGUACGAGAGGACCGGGAUGGACAUACCUCUGGUGUACCAGUUGUCGUGCCAACGGCAUAGCUGGGUAGCUAUGUGUGGACGGGAUAAGUGCUGAAAGCAUCUAAGCAUGAAGCCCCCCUCAAGAUGAGAUUUCCCAACUUCGGUUAUAAGAUCCCUCAAAGAUGAUGAGGUUAAUAGGUUCGAGGUGGAAGCAUGGUGACAUGUGGAGCUGACGAAUACUAA